rnacentral:rRNA from 1 species
UACGUAGGGUGCGAGCGUUAAUCGGAAUUACUGGGCGUAAAGCGUGCGCAGGCGGUUCGUCGCGUCCGAUGUGAAAGCCCCGGGCUCAACCUGGGAAUGGCAUUGGAAACUGGCGGGCUUGAGUGUGGCAGAGGGGGGUGGAAUUCCGCGUGUAGCAGUGAAAUGCGUAGAGAUGCGGAGGAACACCGAUGGCGAAGGCAGCCCCCUGGGCUGACACUGACGCUCAGGCACGAAAGCGUGGGGAGCGAACAGG